AGAGCGGGCAAUUACACCAACGCCGAUGACAUCUUACUAUGCAAUACUUGGUUGCAAGUGUCGAGGGAUCCAUCCGUUGGAGGUGAUCAAAGUGGAGAUGCUUAUUGGGGGCGGAUGAAAGAACACUUUGAUGUUCGCAACGUGAGUGGAAUUGACUGCUCCGAGAGAUCACUUCGGUCCCGGUGGUCGACAAUCAACUCGGAUUGUCAAAGGUGGGAGGCCUGUCAAAAGGCGGUUGACAAGUUGAACCCAAGUGGCACAAAUGAGGACGAUAGAGUAAGUGAAGAGGAGAGGAAAACCAAGAAGGGGAAGAUCAAGAAAGGAAGGAUCUUUACCUUGCCUCAUUGCUAUGAAGUGUUGAAGGAUGAUGAGAAAUGGAAGAAGCGUGAAGAUUUGGAUGAUUUGCAUUUGAGCAACAAACGCAAGCGAACAAUUGAGUUAAAUGAUGAUGAUGAUGAGGAGGAUGAUGCAUCAAGUGAUGACGGCAAGAGAAGCCCCACACCCAACUCGGUUUCAUACUCGAAGCCAAAACGACCGGAUGGGUGCAAGAAAGACAAAACAGAAAAGAAGAAGAGGAAAGGAGAUGAUAAGAUAAAAAAUGCUAUGGAAGCAAUUGUCAACGCAAGAGAAGCCAACAAGGUGAGGAAAAUGGCAAGGAACCAAGAUGCCGUGGCCGAGGAGAGGAGGUUGGCGGCCAAGGAGAGGAAGGUGGCUUUGGAGGAGAGGAAGGUGAGCAAUGAGGAGCGAACUAGAUUGUUGGAAUGGGAGAAGCACUUGUUCUUCUUGGACACAUCUAACCUCAAUGAGGCGCAAAAGGAGUUUGUCAAUCUUUCCCAUGAAGAAGUGUUG
rnacentral:rRNA from 1 species